GUUUUAAAAAACACGUUCUGAUGAGCUCGGAAUUAUCCCUGGAGAGGGAAUAUCGUCUCCAUUACAAGACAGUAGCUUAAUAUCAGAGGCAGUUUGUGUGAACUGCAUGUAGCUGGUAGGAAACAGUAGAUAAAACAAGCUUGGAGAUCUUCAUAGAAAGGGAGGGAGGUUAGAGAGAGAGAAAGAGAGUCUUUUUUGUCGUCGUUAGGAAGAGACAAUCUUGCAGGGGAUUUAAGAGAUAUGUGCGUCUCUCUCCCACCCCCUUUCCUCUGCUUAUGGAAAAUGAGCCAGGAACAAGCUGGACACAGGAGACAGAUGGAGGCCUUCUCUCCAACUGUUGACACCAGCCAAACAGGAUAAAUAGUUCAUAUUGUAAUGAUGACAAUGAUAAUGAUGAAGAGAAAGCAUUAACCCAGAUGAAAAAAAGUUUUGAUUUUAAGCUCUGCUUAAGCCCCGAAGUCCUGCUGUCAGAGCCACUUACAUGAUCCAAGGGACUUUUGACUACAAAGACGGGAAUUUAAGGGAGCAACAUGAAGCCUUGACCCCUACUGCUUCACUCUCCACCAGAAUUGUCAUAACAUCAACAGAGUUCCUGCCAUUUGUGACCACCUUAUGACCAGGCAAUUCUACUUGCCUUAUCUCCUUGGUCAAAAGGCAAGUCUCCUGGCCAUGCCCCGCACCUUCAUCUCAAACCACGCUUCGCCGUGCUCCCUGCAAUCCAGCCACUCUGUCCUUCUUUCAGUUCCUUUUACUUGCUAUGCUUCCUCUCACCAAUUGCUUUUUGCCCAGAAUGCUCUUCCCCCUCUUCAUCUUGUAACUUCC
rnacentral:lncRNA from 1 species